UUCUUAUCUAGCGGAACAGGUCCACGAUGAAGAUCGAGGAUAAUAGGGAAUCGUGUGAAAAUCACGAACUGUCGCGCAACUGUAAGUAACAUACCAAAGACAAUCAUCCAUUGAGUGUCCACUGUCACGGUCCACAACGAGACGGGAAGGACGAUGAAAGUCGUUACAAGUCAGGAGACCUGCCUAUUCCGAUCUACCCAA
rnacentral:ncRNA from 2 species